CCCACCGUGAGGUGGAAUCUGAAGGAAGCUGGAGGCAAAAUCCCGGCCUGAUGAACAAGAACUGCAUACAAGGCUGAAUUGAAGUGGAUGAGUUUACUGAACAAAACGAAGUCCGACACUGCCCGAAUUUCAUACAGUAAAUGUGGCGGGUAGCUGAAAUGAAAGCUAUCGUA
rfam:Petrotoga mobilis SJ95, complete genome.